UCUCAUUCCUGAACGAAUACUAAAAUUGGAACAAUACAGAGAUUAGAAUUGCACCUCAGCAAGGGUGACACGUAAAUUCGUGAGCGUAUUCAAUGCUUU
rnacentral:snRNA from 1 species